GAGCAGUGCUGGUGCUGGAGCCGCGCAGCUAUGACGUCCCUCGCCGCCCAGCUCCUCACCCUCAUCCUAGUGGCGGGUGUCCGUGCAGCACCUGGUGGAGGAGACACGUCAGUAUGCUCAAGGGAGUGUCCCGUCGCCGGCGCCCCCAAGUUCUUCUACCAACCAGGAAAGACCUACGCUUACGCGUACUCCGGAAACUCCAAGGUUAAGCUCGAGGGUGUGGAAGGUGGACACACAGAGACGAGUUGGUCAGCACAAGUUGAGGUGUCAUGGAUCACUCCCUGUGACAUGGUCAUCUCUAUGAAAGAUUACAAGACGGAUGGUGACAACGUGCCAGCAGCCGCCAGGUUCCUGGAGAGGUACCCGCUGGUGGUGGCGGUGGCCGACGGCCGGGUUCAACACGUGUGUAGUCAUCAUGAUGACGACGCCUGGUCCAUCAACAUGAAGAAGGGCGUCGCCUCAAUCUUCCAGAACUCUCUCCCAUCCAAUUCAUCCUUCUACACUGGUCAAAAUGUCAUUGAGACGGAUGUGUUAGGAACGUGCCCAACGAGGUACGAGGUGCACAACCAUCGAGAUAGAGUCAUUAUGAAGAAGGAGAAGAACCACCGAGUGUGUAAGCAGCGUUACCCGACCCCUGCUGAGACCCAGGUUCCCUGGCUCAAAGGUCUUCUGCCACUGGAAAAGUCCCACUCUAUGUGUCAACAAGAGAUCAAGAACGGAAUCUACUCCAGCAUCACCUGUGAGGAUGAGAACGUGGUCAGACCCAGCUAUGGUCUCUAUAAGUAUAUUGAAGCCAGACAGGAGUCCACUCUGAGAUUCAUCUCAGAAUCCAACGACCAAUCAGCUGCCGCCUCUGCCAUCCCUCAAGCUAACAUGGAACGCAAGAGUCUCCGGUAUGACUACGAUACCCUCAAGAAGGACCCGUCCAUGGUGGCCCAGUUGGACCAGACCAUGAAGCAGAUCUGUGAGAAGACUAAAGAUGCCGUUGAGCGUGAUGUUGCUGCUCUGGUAGCCAAGGCUGCACAACUCCUGCGACGAGUCCCUGAGGAAGCCAUAACACAAACUUUGGACAAAAUCCGCAGCGGACAGUUUUGUCAAGAUCACAAGAAACUAGAGCAACUUUUUCUGGACGUUGUUGUUUUCAUCCAUGAGUCUGGUUCCGUAAAGGUUAUGGUAAAGGAGCUGACAAGUGGACACACCUCGGUAGUUCGUCGAGCCCUCUACUCAGCAGCUUUAUUCAGUCUUCCCCGUCCAAGUAUCCAUGCCAUGGUCGCUCUCAAGCCAUUGUUCGAAUCUGCUCAUCCUCUACCAAUGGCAACCCUGGCUGGUGCCUCUCUGGUCAAUACUUACUGCCGGCAUAAUCACAACUGCGAUGAAAUAGAACCAGUUAAGAGCCUAGCUGAAGCUCUAGGUCACAAACUACAAAGACAGUGUUCUCCUUCUGACGAUGAAGAGACAGAAAAAGCUGCCCUGACAACACUUAAGGCUCUGGGUAACAUGGGCAUAAUGACCCAAGAGGUGGCCAGGUCUGUCCUCAGAUGCAUGGAAACAGAAGGUGUUAAGAACAACAUCCGCGUGGCCGCCGCACAAGCCUUCAGACAAACAAAAUGUCAUCACCAGUCAACAGAGCAGCUUGUAAAUUUUUCUGUUGAUAUUGCAAUGGCCUCUGAGGUUCGGAUUGCAGCCUAUCUUAUGGCAGUUCGGUGUGCUGAGAAGAAGAACUUAGAAUUGAUUAUUACCAAAAUUUCUCAAGAGGAAAAUACACAAGUUCGUGGAUUUAUUUUGAGCCAUCUUCUUAACCUCCAGCAAUCAUAUGCACCUGAGAAAGUAGAAAUCCGGUAUCUUUUAUCAAAUAUUGUGAUUCCUAGGAACUUUAAUAAGGACAUAAGAAAAUAUUCUCGCAAUAUAGACCUAGCGUACUUCUCGCCGGCCCUGGGGGCUGGUGCCGGCGUGGAGUCCAACAUCAUCUACUCUCCGGGAUCCUUUGUCCCUCGCUCUAUUGACUUCAACCUCACCGCCGCCUUAGAGGGAAUCUUAAUGAACUUAGGCGAGGUUGGAGUCCGGCUUGAGGGUUUGGAACCCAUCUUCGAGGAAAUAUUUGGUCCUGAAGGAUACGUCCAGAAAACUAGUUUAAGACAAAUUUUAAAAGAUGUGACUCGGUUUAUUAAACAAACGGGUGGAACAAUAUUUGAGCAUUUCCUGCACCAGCUGAGAACUAAACGAUCCGUUGACUUUUCCCAUGCAACUGAAAUAUUUGAGAAGAUCUAUAAUAGUGACAAACUCAAAACUAUUCAGGCUGAUAUUUUUGCUCGCUUUAUGGGCCAAGAGAUUAGUUUUGCUUCAUUUUCUGGAGAAGUGAAAGACAUUAGUGUUGAUAAAAUGACUGAAUUCUUAUUAUCAUACAUCAGUGAUAUCCUGAACCAAAUUAAAACCUUGAACGUCAAUAUAGCUCGAACAUUUCAGAUUAGUUUUGACUACUCCUUCCCCACCAUUCAGGGUACACCAUUCAAACUCAUGAUGGAAGGAACGGCUGUUACUGGGCUGCAAAUAGAAGGCAAUCUCAAUCCUUUAGACUUCUUAUAUAAUUGGAAGAAGGGCAAUAAUACUAUUAAGAUUAUUCCUAGUGUGUCUGUAUACACUGAUGGGUUUAUUGGGUAUGAUACAUUCCUCACUAAGACAGGAAUCAAGGCAAAUACCACCUUGUCCAAGAUAUACGGCGCCACUCUCAAUGUUAAGCCACAGAACAAUACUGAGCAGAAUGAGAUGGAAGUUCAAUGGGAUCUUCCUGAACAUAUAGAACUUAUUAAUGUGAAGAGUGAGACAUACCUCAUGAAGAGUGAGAGAGGCAGCCCAGAGACCAAGAUCAUCCCACCAUCCAUGAAGGACAUCAGAAUAAGAACCCAGUCAUGUAUCAACAAUCUUGAACCCAUUCUAGGUCUGAAGUUAUGUUAUGAACUGGACAUCCCGGAUAUCUUCCGUAGCAACUCCCUGCCAUUUGGGGCCCCGACCAUUGCCAAGCUAUACGUCGAGAAGGAAGAAUCGUCUUUGACGGGUUAUCGUAUGACAGUAGUCACUCAGGACAAGAAAGAAAGUAAGAUGGCGGUAGUGAAGGUAGAAUCAUCCGGUUCUUCAACACCAAAAGAGGCUGAAGUAACUCUAUCCCACAUCAUUCAAGGAAAUGCUUGCGUUAUUUCUGCUCGAUUAAGAUCAUCUGCUGUUACCAGUGGAAUCUGGGUCACCAUCAUCAAUGAGGAAGGUCACAAGGGUGUCGAAGUUUAUGCUAACUACAAGUCUAACCGGACAGAAUUAUCUCGUGGCAUUAAGAUAGAUGUCAUAACCGAGUCAACGCCAACAAAGAACAAAUAUGAAUUAGACAUCUACAUUAGCCGGAAUAGAUACUUCCCUCCUGAAUCACAAAUAUUCGAGAGCAAGUUUGUCGGGAGAUUCAGAGAAUGUAAUAUGUCUGUGGACUUCUUAUUCACGAUAAAGAAUGCCCUAAGAAACUACUUUGUCUCAGAUAUAGAAUUUGGAGCAGACCUGAGGCACACCACGUUCCCCUACAUUCUUAUGCUGACUAAACUGCGCAAGUUUGAGUUCCAUGGCGAGAUAUCUGACUGGCAAAUCAUCUCCUUCAUUCAUCAGACUAAAGAAUCUGGGGAGAGCGCUGAGCAUUCAUCUUCCUUCAAGAUUACAAAGAGGAAUGAAGACCUGGUGAAUGUUGUGGCCUCCCACACAACAAAAGGAACUUUGAACCAAAAUUUUGUCACCAAAACAAAAGCUAAAGUAAAAAUAGGUAGUACUGGGUACAAAACAUCUUCCACCAUCUUCUAUGAAGACCUGAAAAAAGGAGCAUCUCUGGAAGUAAUUCGCGCUAGCGACGGUGUGAAGGUGGCGGACCUGGAAGUCAUGAAUGAUAGGUCUGACCAGUCAUGCUACACCUUAGUCUUGGUGGACAUACCAGAGUACAUGAGAGCCAUCAAGUUUGAGAGCAAGGCGGCGGAGCAGGGAGAGGAUCGUACAUGCUUCAAGCCGCCGUCAAGCAUGGAGAACUUAUCCUUCUUCGCGCUCAAGGACCACUCACAGCCACGUUUUCUUCCAAUGUGACCAUCCUUAAGACAGACAUUAAACUUGAAUUGUUCGGUAGAGUUCACAGGGUCGCUGCCACUCUCAACCAUUCAGAGCAUCGUUUACUUAUGGACCUAGAUGUGAAAAAUGAACGGCAGUCGUUAUUGUCUUGUGAAUGGAAUAUGCUGACUGAACCAAAUAUCGAGAAGACUACAAUCGGCUUUAAGUUCCUUCUGCCUGUACUCAUGGAUAGUCGAGUGGACGCUAUUGUCGGGAAGAGGGUCAUCUAUCUCAAUACCGACACCCUGCUCUUCCCACAGAGCUCCUUCCAUCGAAGAAUUAUUAGUGGACUUGAUUUGGACUUUGAGCAUUACAUAGUGGCGACACAUGUCUCAUGGGACGCAGAUGCUGACCCAAAUAAGAGAAUCUCAGCUUAUGGUCGGUUUUUUACCAGACCCAGUAACCCUAAGUUCACUUUCUACAUAGGCACUGUCAAGUGGCUGAACGAGACCUACAUUGUCAAAAUGAAUCUCACAGAAGCCAACCUUUUAGCCCAUUUCCAGGGAGAGAAUGGUUUGGAACUUGAAAUAAUUACUGCCGCUAACAAAACUUGUAUAUAUGAGGUGAAGAACACUGUUCAGCAACAACAUAACUCUAUUAAUAUACAUACCCGUUUUCGCUACAAGAACCUGGAGAAUAACGAUUACAGAUUAGCAAGUGUCAUAGGUUUGGAAAGCCUGGGCAGCCCAUACAACUACAAGCUUGCUUUGCAACUCAACUACAUGUCACCAGAGGGCCACACCACGAGCCUCACAACGAAAGCUAUGCAUCACAGUACACCAGAGGCCCGGGUCAUAUAUGUAAAGAGUGCAACGUCGACUUCUAGUACGAGGAAGCCUUUACAGGUAGAGUUCCAGUCCUCCAGUGAGGAGAACUCUUAUAACAUCCACUGGAAGGCGGACCUGGACUCUCCAGUCACCAUGUUCAAGUGGGACAUGGUGACGCACCAGGAGGGUGGUGUCAAAUCUUUGGAGUCUUCGAUAGAUAUGACAGCUGUCCGUGACCUAAUAAAGACAGCGCUUAGUAUGAUUGAAGGAAGAGGAGACAAUGAAGACAUUAUGGAAGAGCAACAUAACAGAGAAAGUUACAAAGAACGUCAAGAAGACUAUAACACCGACACAGAUAAACAUCGAGACAGGGAAAGUUAUGAAGGACGCCAAAGAGAAGAUUAUGACAGCGGCAGGGACGAAUAUGGGGAUAAUCAGAAUUACAAGAGAGGUCAAGGCAAAGACUAUGACAAUGACAGAUCUGAAUAUCAAGAUAGACAGAGUUACCAGGGAGGCCAAGGCAAAGACUAUGACAAUGACAGGUCUGAAUACCAGGAUAGAGAGAGUUACCAGGGAGGCCAAGGCAAAGACUAUGACAAUGACAGGUCUGAAUACCAGGAUAGACAGAGUUACCAGGGAGGCCAAGGCAAAGACUAUGACAAUGACAGGUCUAAAUACCAGGAUAGAGAGAGUUACCAGGGAGGCCAAGGCAAAGACUAUGACAAUGACAGAUCUGAAUACCAGGAUAGAGAGAGUUACCAGGGAGGCCAAGGCAAAGACUAUGACAAUGACAGAUCUGAAUACCAGGAUAGAGAGAGUUACCAGGGAGGCCAAGGCAAAGACUAUGACAAUGACAGAUCUGAAUACCAGGAUAGAGAGAGUUACCAGGGAGGCCAAGGCAAAGACUAUGACAAUGACAGAUCUGAAUACCAGGAUAUUGUGGAGGGUUACCAGAGGGAUCAAGGCGAGGACUAUGCCAACAAAACGGGUAAACCUCUGGACGACAAGGACAACAAAGAACGACAAGGUGAAGACUAUGACAACGAUAGAGGCGAAUAUCAGGAUAGACCGGGUUACCAGAUAAGAAAAAGAGAAGCCUAUAGGAAUACAAAUGACAUGGACGAACAUCAUGUUAGAGAGAUUUACAGCUGCCUCUAUCAAAAUCCCACACCCAACACCUUCGCUAUGAUCUUUAAAUCUCCAUCCCGCACUAUGGAGGGUGACGUCGAGUAUUCUCCUUCAGCGUCAAGUCUCAGGUUCUAUCCUAACAAGGCUAAGAGUGAGGCAAAAUACGAGAUCGCGGCCAAGUCCUCCCACAGCUACCGGGAUCACCAGUCCAAGUACGAAGGUCGCAUUAGUCAUCCACGUCUGGCAAGAGACUUGCAAGUUAAGGUUCAGCAUUCGGGCAGUGGAGAAGAACUGAGAGGUUCUAUUGAACUGGACGUCUUCCCAGAUACAGCAGACAAAAUUGUGGGCACCUUCCAGUCAACUAAAACUGCUAACAAUACAAUCAAAAUUGAAGUAGCAUUAGCCACAAGGAUACUAAUGGAGCUUCCCAAGGUCACCAUAGUGAUGGCCUAUGCUCCCCACACGGCUGGCAUUGAUCUCCAGUUCCAGAAGUCUCCCUCCUCCCCGGUAACCUUCCAGGUGUCGGCCAUAUACGACCGGGUCUCCCCUAGAGAUGCAACAAUGGCCUUCCGUGUGAUUAACGCUGGAGUCUCCGUGGUGGACAUCGCUGGAACGACGCAGCGUGAAGAAGAUCCCGAGUGUAACGGCCACAAGGUCAAGGCUGUGGCUCACAUUUCAUCCUUCGGCUCUUACGAAGUUCACUCCAAGUUCUGUAAACCUGCCUUCAUCCAACUAUCAAUAAAUAAGCUACAUAGUCAGUAUAUUUACGCUGCAAGGUGUGGGUUCCAGACCCCAAAGAACGCUGAGGUCAGUUUGGCUGUGGAAUUUAAUGGCUCACCGCAAAGAUAUGUCAUUGCAGAGAUGCAAGCACAGUUGACCUCUCCAACCCUGAUCAGUGUUGAUGUGGCUUUUGUCGAACAACAUUUUACCAGAGUUAAGAAUAAUGUGGUAGCGGCGUGCAGGCGAGUGAUGGGGUCUGUUCAGACGUGGGCUGGCAGCGUGUAUAACUACAUGAAGGACCAAGCUCAGCAGCGAGGCAUUCUCUUCCCAAACCCUCAGAUACUUUCCCUCAUAAACCAAGUCGAUCUCGAUCUGCGAGAAAUAUAUGAAGAUGUCUAUGAUGUAAUUGUACCUAAGUUUGAGGCUUUCUGUCACACCAUAACUCCCGUGGUAGCCUACGUCCAACAAUAUUGCUACGACUUUUUAUUAGGCUUGGCCGAUGCGCAAAAGUUCAUCGUAGACAGUAUUGUCGAAGAAUUGCUUUACAUUCGGAAUGAAUCAAAUAAAUUUACAAUGAUGAUUAUGAACCGAGUAAUGGAUGCUGCCCGCUGGAUGCAGUUCGGGAUGGUGCCUCCCUGGGUGGAGGACCUGCGACAACAGCUGGAAAAGACCAGGAUCUACGCGAUAUUCAAGAACAUCUACGACGCCAUAACCGCGCGCUAUCCUGAGGAGUGUGAAGCCGUGUGGAAUAUGGCGUCUAAAUUCAGACAAACUUUGUGGGAUGAUAUUAACAUUCUCCGUUUGUAUUAUUUCCGGUUGCCUCCUAUCCUGAGGACGCUACUGUGGCUCGUCAACUCAUUCGUUGGUGAGAAUUGGGUGAUUUUUGAAGCGAAUGCAUUAACCAGUGAAGUAAAUAAAGAAAUUUUAUUAGUUUCUGUAGAAAAAGAAAAACAUCAUAUGAAUGUGCAAAUUCCUUUACACACUCCAAUGUAUUCUUUAACUCAAGUUCUCCAAACAGCAAUGCCGUACCCUAUCACAAUAUAUCAGAAUGUGGCGUGGAGGUACGACACAUUCAUACCUGUUUCAAUCAAUGACUUGAUAUGGGCAUACUACACCUUGCUGCCCCGUCACAAGAGGGAUGUGUUGCCCCCAUACAACCGCACCGCCAUGGUUGUGAGCGACACAGAGAUCCUCACCUUUGACGGCGCUGUGCUCCGAGCACCACCUUCACCGUGUGAGGUUAUUUUAGCUAUCUACAAAUCCAACAAGCUUACCAUGUCCCAUCCAGAACGAUCAUCCCCGCCACAAAUCACCUUAUCAACUCACUCCACUACCGUCGUUAUCAAAGCGGACUUCCGUGUUGAGAUUAAUGGACAAGAGAUGAGCAUGGCACAAGUAACUGUUGGCGAGCUCACAAUCCAGAAGACGCCACAAGAAGUCAGUUUAACGUUACCCUACAUGUCUGUCCGAAUAUUCCUACAACGACGUGUGAUUUCAGUAAACGUUGGGGGCUGGGCCUUCGGUCACAUAACGGGCCUUCUUGGUAGUUACGAUGGCGAAACUGGUAAUGAUUGGCUGAUGCCUUCUGGUGUCAGGGCUUCCAGCCUACAAGAGCUGGUGUUCUCGUGGCAAGAGAGUCAAGAGUGCCGCACUCCACCCGUCCCUCCAGUGUCACCCGACAAUAUUAAUAUACUGUGGGCAGCUCAAUGUAAUGAACUUCUGGAAAUUCGAUCGAGGUGCUCUCCGUUGAUCAGUCCGGAACCGUUCAUCAAAAUAUGUUAUGGGAUUACUCAGACUUGCCGCGCUGCAUAUGCGUACCAAACCAUGUGCUCCACCAGAGGCAUUGACCUGGUCUUCCCUACUUACUGUAAAUAGCAUCAUGUGACUGCUUAGAUGCACACUAACAAGGCCUUAUGUAACAUUAUUUUGUAUAUUAACAUAUGCAAGAGAAAUACAAAUGUAAAUUAAAAGCAUUUCAAUUAUAUUAAUCUAAAAUAGAAAUAUUGUGAAGAUAUGUAUUUUUAGCUCCAACAAAUGUAAGCAUAAUACUAAGGACUUUGAGCUAUAACACUGUAUGUUUCUUAGAUUCUUAUCAGUCGUUUGGACAUGGUCUUUGUGGCAACGUGUCAUAUGUAAGAGUUAACAUUAUUCAAUAUUGAGUCUUGAAAACUGGAGCUGUACAAGCACUGCUGUCUACAUGCACAAGAUUUCCGUCACAGUCAAACGGUUCUUUGUAUAUCAGAAUAUGAUGACAGUGAGGAAGAGUGUAACAAUAAUAGAGUUGAGGGGCAUUUUGGUGUCAGCAGCAGAGGUGUUUGGGCUUACGGUGAACCACGAGUUGCCACAGAGAUACAUUUCACAUUCAGAUCUCUAGAAAAGAGCUUUCACACCGGCCAGUGUGUGUGUGUGCCGAGUUCUCCAUCUCGCAGGGGACUUGAGAGGAUAACUUAAGGGCAACUGCUCUUUGGUAAAGUUUUUACCAAGCUUAUCUACGAAUAAGGUUAACUGUUGCAAAAUACUAUAUAUAUAUAUGUUUAAUUACAAAAGUAUAGACAGAUUCAUUGUUCUUGUUUCAUCAAUCUUUCCCUCGUUGUUGGAUUGAUGCAUCAUAUAUGUACGAUGAUGACAAAUUGAUGCAGCGUAUGUGUUUAAUGA